rnacentral:rRNA from 1 species
GACGAACGCUGGCGGCGUGCUUAACACAUGCAAGUCGAACGGAAAGGCCCUGCUUUUGUGGGGUGCUCGAGUGGCGCACGGGUGAGUAACACGUGAGUAACCUGCCCUUGACUUUGGGAUAACUUCAGGAAACUGGGGCUAAUACCGGAUAGGAGCUCCUGCUGCAUGGUGGGGGUUGGAAAGUUUCGGCGGUUGGGGAUGGACUCGCGGCUUAUCAGCUUGUUGGUGGGGUAGUGGCUUACCAAGGCUUUGACGGGUAGCCGGCCUGAGAGGGUGACCGGCCACAUUGGGACUGAGGUACGGCCCAGACGCCUACGGGAGGCAGCAGUGGGGAAUAUUGCACAAUGGGCGGAAGCGUGAUGCAGCAACGCCGCGUGCGGGAUGACGGCCUUCGGGUUGAAAACCGCUUUCGCCUGUGACGAAGCGGGAGUGACGGUAAUGGGUAAAGAAGCACCGGCUAACUACGUG